rnacentral:rRNA from 1 species
UACGGAGGGGGCUAGCGUUGCUCGGAAUCACUGGGCGUAAAGGGUGCGUAGGCGGGUCUUUAAGUCAGGGGUGAAAUCCUGGAGCUCAACUCCAGAACUGCCUUUGAUACUGGGGAUCUCGAGUCCGGGAGAGGUGAGUGGAACUCCGAGUGUAGAGGUGAAAUUCGUAGAUAUUCGGAAGAACACCAGUGGCGAAGGCGGCUCACUGGCCCGGUACUGACGCUGAGGUGCGAAAGCGUGGGGAGCAAACAGG